GAUGAACGCUGGCGGCGUGCCUAAUACAUGCCAGUCGAACGAAACUUCUUUAUCACCGAGUGCUUGCACUCACCGAUAAAGAGUUGAGUGGCGAACGGGUGAGUAACACGUGGGCAACCUGCCCAAAAGAGGGGGAUAACACUUGGAAACAGGUGCUAAUACCGCAUAACCAUAGUUACCGCAUGGUAACUAUGUAAAAGGUGGCUAUACUACCGCCUUUGGAUGGGCCCGCGGCGCAUUAGCUAGUUGGUAGGGUAAAGGCUUCCAAGGCAAUGAUGCGUAGCCGAAUUGAGAGGUUGAUCGGCCACAUUGGGACUGAGACACGGCCCAAACUCCUACGGGAGGCAGCAGUAGGGAAUCUUCCACAAUGGGCGAAAGCCUGAUGGAGCAACGCCGCGUGGGUGAAGAAGGUCUUCGGAUCGUAAAACCCUGUUGUUAGAGAAGAAAGUGCGUGAGAGUAACUGUUCACGUUUCGACGGUAUCUAACCAGAAAGCCACGGCUAACUACGUG
rnacentral:rRNA from 1 species